rnacentral:rRNA from 1 species
GUGUCAGCCGCCGCGGUAAAACGUAGGGGACAAGCGUUAUCCGGAUUUACUGGGCGUAAAGCGCCCGUAGGCGGCUUGAUAAGUUGGACGUGAAAGCUCCCGGCUUAACUGGGAGAGGCCGUUCAAAACUGCCAAGCUAGAGUGAGGAAGAGGAGAGCAGAAUUCCCGGUGUAGUGGUGGAAUGCGUAGAGAUCGGGAGGAAUGCCAGUGGCGAAAGCGGCUCUCUGGUCCUAAACUGACGCUGAGGGGCGAAAGCGUGGGGAGCGAACGGGAUUAGAUACCCUUGUAGUCC